CCUACGGGUGGCAGCAGUGGGGAAUAUUGGACAAUGGGCGAAAGCCUGAUCCAGCCAUGCCGCGUGUGUGAAGAAGGCCUUCGGGUUGUAAAGCACUUUCAGUGGGGAAGAAAGCCUUGGGGCUAAUACCCUCGAGGAAGGACAUCACCCACAGAAGAAGCACCGGCUAACUCCGUGCCAGCAGCCGCGGUAAUACGGAGGGUGCGAGCGUUAAUCGGAAUUACUGGGCGUAAAGCGCGCGUAGGCGGUCUGAUAAGCCGGUUGUGAAAGCCCCGGGCUCAACCUGGGAACGGCAUCCGGAACUGUCAGGCUAGAGUGCAGGAGAGGAAGGUAGAAUUCCCGGUGUAGCGGUGAAAUGCGUAGAGAUCGGGAGGAAUACCAGUGGCGAAGGCGGUCUUCUGGACUGACACUGACGCUGAGGUGCGAAAGCGUGGGUAGCAAACAGGAUUAGAUACCCGGGUCGUC
rnacentral:rRNA from 1 species